CAGGAAUAGUACCUAAAAUGCACUCAGCCAACUAAGCUGGCCCAGAUAUCCAAGGUUCCAAGGUCACAUAAGAUGAAGACCAGCUGUUGUUUCGCUUUACUAUAUCUGUGGAUGACCCUAUCCCCACCUGCAUGUUCCAGAAGGAAUCAUUCCAGACUUGAGGUAUGCAAAUCCUGUUGGAGUUGGACACAUCCCAUUAAACACUUUAUGGCAAUAUUUUCUUUAUGAAUCAUCAGGACUGCUGAACUUCACUCCCAGAUGUAGCAUGAAGAAUGGGUCACAGCAGACAAAAGGCAGAACACCAAGGAAGAGAGCCAGGACUGAUGAAAUAGAAGUAGUAUCUCUGGAAGGGGACUCUGGAAACCCAACAACGUGACUAGUCAGAAGCUAACCAAGAAUAAAGCAGUAAAAUCAACACACAAUGGCAG